UACGUAGGGUGCAAGCGUUAAUCGGAAUUACUGGGCGUAAAGCGUGCGCAGGCGGUUGUGUAAGACAGAUGUGAAAUCCCCGGGCUUAACCUGGGAACUGCAUUUGUGACUGCACGGCUGGAGUGCGGCAGAGGGGGAUGGAAUUCCACGUGUAGCAGUGAAAUGCGUAGAGAUGUGGAGGAACACCGAUGGCGAAGGCAGCCCCCUGGGUUAACACUGACGCUCAGGCACGAAAGCGUGGGGAGCAAACAGG
rnacentral:rRNA from 1 species